rnacentral:lncRNA from 1 species
AGAAAACCUUAUCAAGCAUGCUGAUUCAAAAACACUACCAAUCGUACAUAAUUCAAGAAGUUUCAUAAAAUAUAUUGAUCUACAACAAUAGUCUACUCAACAGUCAACAUUCUAAAAUUAUAAACCACAUACAGUAAUUUACAACCAUAUCAUUAACAGAGGGGCAUAUAUCAUUUCUUCCCAAAAUAACAUGUCUCCAUGACUCCACUGUCAAUAUCUAUGUCAAAGAAACUAUAUAUUCAGAUUUUUUUGUUCGAACUACAAAGCAAAAUAAGAUAAACUAAAAUACAAGUAAACGAAGCCAGUUUGGUCCACCUGACCCUUCUCAAGUGCACAGGAGCCCGCUUUGGUAGUUUUGACAGCGCCUGGCCGCAGAACAGUAGCGAGCCGACAACGCUGGGCAUGUUCUACAUGAUGUACCGGAACGCCAUCUGGCUCAGCUGAUUGAACGUCUUCUGAGGAGGAGUGAAUUGCAAAAAACCACCACAUUAGUGCCUAGGUUUGCAGAAAGCAUUGGUUUAUGAAUUUCUGUCAGAAACCAUAAAUUUUUGGCCUAAUCUUUUGCAGAAAACACUAGUUGGCGGCUUUGGCUCAUUUGAUGAUGAUUAUGACAGAUGGAGCCUGACGUGGCGUAACGGUCCAUAAUAAAUGGCGUGAGAGAGGUCUUUUUGCCAAAAACACCUCCGUGCAUGAAAAAAAAACUGCCAUAAUAAAAAAGUCAACCACCCACGUGGCCAGGUGCGGGGAGUGUUCAUCCGUCCGAGCUGCGGUGGCGCGCGGCCUGAUUCCUCUGUCUUCGCCAGGGGCGGUGGUGGCGCAGCGGCAACGGGCUCCACCGUCGACGGCUAGGGUAGCCGAGGAGCAGCUCUCCAGUCGGCGACCUGUGGCUGCGGACGCGGGGAAGGGGAGAUGGGCUCGGGGUGUCAGGUACUCACGGGGCAGCAGCGACGGCGAGCCUGGCGGCCUCCCCGACCUCGGCCCUGGCGCAAGUAGCGGCGGUCGCGCCUCCCCUUCACCAUCCUCCCUCCUCUCUCUUUCCCGAGCAGCGGCGCGCAUCCCGGACGUGCCUCUCUUCACCUUCCUCCCUCCUCUCUCUUUCCCAAGCCGGCGGCGCACAACCACGGAGCAAGCA